AGCUGUAAAACUCUAAUAGGGCCAUGGAACACCAAUGAAGCCAUGACCAUGGUGAUACCAUAGGAGAUACAGCCACAGUGUAAAUGACACCACUUAAAGCAGAAAAGAACAGAAGACCCAGAGGAGAGUACUGGUCUACCUGGAGGCACUCAUUAGAGUUGGUUUGUUAGAACUAAGAUUGGUAAUGCUGAGUUAUAUUCUUUAGUAACAGAGACAAGCUGUAAGAUACAAGAGGCAGCACUGGAUUGAACUAAACUGUUGUGAUUUCCACUCAUGAGUGUAAAAACUUUCUGAUUGGCACCAUCCUAUAUCCAAGGGCUUGAAGAACAAAGCAACUACUCUGGUUUUUUUUCCGCAUUCAAGUGAAAUGGAAAUUAAGUGCUAAGGUGUCUCUUAGAACUUAAAAAUUAUACUGAACUGCCAACGCUUUGUUUUGUAAAGAACCAAUGGCUCAACUACCUGCCUGUUACUUUUCAUCAUCCAAGGAGAACUUAAGACCUGCUCAGCAAGAGGGAAAUUAAUCAAGCACCAAAGCAUGAGUUAUAUAUAAAUCUACAGGCUCUUCUUUUUCAUAUUCUUUCUCAUAUGAAUGUGGUGACAACAGAGUGACUGCUGAGUAACUUAGCUGAGCUGAGCUGCUCUUUGCCUCACUAUACCAUCUCCCAGGAUUUCUGUGCAGGGACUGUGAAGCGGGAGCAUGUUUUAUAAACUUAAUGGUCCCUAUACAAAUGAGCUAUAAUUUUUAUUGUAACUUAUUACUAAAAUAAAACCGUGGAAAGAAUUUGUA